rnacentral:tRNA from 1 species
UUAAUUGAAGCCAAAAUAGAGGCAGUUUAUUGUUAAUAUUCUUAAUGAAUUCAAAUUCCAAUUGAA